rnacentral:rRNA from 1 species
UACGGGGGGGGUAAGCGUUGUUCGGAAUUACUGGGCGUAAAGGGCUCGUAGGCGGCCAACUAAGUCAGACGUGAAAUCCCUCAGCUUAACUGGGGAACUGCGUCUGAUACUGGAUGGCUUGGAUUCGGGAGAGGAAUGCGGAAUUCCAGGUGUAGCGGUGAAAUGCGUAGAGAUGUGGAGGAACACCAAUGGCGAAGGCAGCCUUCUGGGCCAACACUGACGCUCAUGCACGAAAGCGUGGGGAGCAAACAGG